rnacentral:rRNA from 1 species
AUGACGACAGUCCAAAACAAUAAUACUACUCCUACUAGCCUGGGCGACAAUAAUGCAAGGACGAAGCUGGUUGUCAUCUACGCCCCGCCGGGGAUGGCAGGCCACUUGUUCCCCACCGUGGAGUUUGGCAAGCUACUUGUGGCGCAGGGCCUCGAGGUCACCGUCGUCCUCAGCGGGGUCGGGGACGCCGACGACCUCACAAGGAUCAGGGCGGCCAACCCGUCGCUGUCCUUCCACUGCCUCCCCACGCCCAUGCUUCCAUCCGCCGGCGCCGAUAGUUUCGAGGCUAAGGUUUUCGGGCUCGCGCACGCCUCCCUCCCGGACCUUCGUGACUUCCUCCGCUCCGCCUCUCCGGCUGCUCUCGUCAUCGACUUCUUCUGCGCCAGCGCCUUCGACGUCGGCGCCGAACUCGGCAUUCCGACCUACUUCUUCCUCACCACUUGCAUCUCCGUCGUCGCCUUUGGUCUCUACCAGCCAGCCAUGGAUGAGCAGACCACUCUGAGCUUCCGGGACCUCGGCGGCGACCUUGUGCACGCCCCUGGGUUGCCACCCAUACCGGCAGAUCACCUCCCCGCGUUCACUCUCGAUCGCAACAGCUUGAGCACCAAGUUGUUCAGGGACGUGCCCCACCAGCUGUGCAACUCACAAGGAAUUAUUGUCAACAGCUGCCGCUCCUUGGAGCCCCGUGCCGUCGACGCCAUCGUCUCCGGCCUCUGCACCCCCGGACGGCCAACACCGCCAUUGUACUGCAUAGGACCACUGAUAAAGCCCAAGGAGGUUGGGGUUGGCACAGAGCGCCACGAGUGCCUCGCAUGGCUCGAUGGCCAGCCCAAGGCCAGUGUGGUGUUUCUCUGUUUUGGCAGCUCUGGCCGGUUCGGCACGGAGCAGAUCAAGCAGAUGGCGGCGGGGCUGGAGACGAGCGGGCAACGGUUCUUGUGGGUUGUGCGGCGCCCUGUGACAGGCGACGAGCACCACCAGUUGGCCGUCGACGAGCUCGACCUGGACGCGCUCUUUCCCACGGGCUUCCUGCACCGGACAAGGGAGAGGGGAUUGGUUGUAAUGUCGUGGGCACCGCAGCGGGACGUGCUGGCGCACGGCGCGGUCGGCGGGUUUGUGACGCACUGCGGAUGGAACUCGGUGAUGGAGGCGGUCAUGGCGGGCGUGCCGAUGCUGGCGUGGCCUCUAUACGCCGAGCAACGCAUGAACAAGCUGUUUUUGGUGGAGGGGAUGCAGCUGGCCGUGGCCAUGGAAGGGUACGACAAACAGAUGGUGGAAGCUGAGGAGGUGGCCGCCAAGGUCAGGUGGCUGAUCGAGUCCGACGGCGGGCGGGAGCUCCGGCAACGAACGCACGCGGCCAUGCGGGUUGCCAAGGACGCGCUGGACAAGGCUGGCGAGUCCACAACAGCGUUGGUGCACCUUGCGAGGCAGUGGAAAAACGCCGACCACGACGCAACUGCUGCUUGUGGCCUCAUCAUCGACUGA